ensembl:lncRNA
AUGUCCACUGAAGUGGAUGUCUUGGACGGGUUGGUAGAAAGUUUGUUGAUGAAGAGAAGAAUAAUGUCUGUAUGUGGGAUGACGGGACCAGGGCUUGGUCUGUCUGUGUUCCUGUUGGCUCUGCUUCAUCUUCAAUGCUCAGCCCAGAACAACUACACUACGCUCCCAAAUAACGUAUCAGUGGCUGUUGGCAAGCCUGCUGCCUUCCAGUGUGGUGUGUCCCCUCCUAGACAACUCAACUUCACUCUCUAUGGUAGCCAUAGAAACAUAACCCUCAUCUGCCCAGGAGACCACACUGAGUAUCUGGCUGCCCAGUCAAUAAAAGGGUACUGUGAUAACACAGGUAAGGAGCUCUUUGCAAUAUGGCUUAUCAGUGGGACAUCCCGCUCUGACAACCACACACGUGUGGUAUGUGAGAGCUCAGGACGACCACUAGUGGAUGGAUACCUCUGGGUGUACGAGGACGGCAGUUACUUUGCCACCCUCAUUGGCUGCGUCAUUGGUGGUUUCUUUGGUAUCCUCAUCGUCUUUGGUCUGUCAUACACUGUGCUCAGGAGAUCUGAGAGGUUCCAGCUCUGUUUCAGUAAGUACCUCUCUCCUUCAGCCCUAACAGAGGAUGGACCAGAGAAUGAUGCAGCGUGA